GACGAACGCUGGCGGCGUGCUUAACACAUGCAAGUCGAACGGAAAGGCCCUGCUUUUGUUGGUUUCUCUAGUUGCGAACGGGUGUGUAACACGUGUGUAACCUGCCCUUUACUUUGUGAUAACUUCUGGAAACUGGGGCUAAUACCGGAUAGGAUCUCCUGCUGCAUUGUGUUGGUUGGAAAUUUUCGGCGGUUGGGGAUGGACUCGCGGCUUAUCAGCUUGUUGGUGGGGUAGUGGCUUACCAAGGCUUUGACGGGUAGCCGGCCUGAGAGGGUGACCGGCCACAUUGGGACUGAGAGACGGACCAGACUCCUACGGGAGGCAGCAGUGGGGAAUAGUGCACAAUGGGCGGAAGCCUGAUGAAGAAACGCCGCGAGCGGGAUGAAGGCCUUCGGGUUGUAAAAAGAUGUAGACUGUGACGAAGAGUGAGUGACGGUAAUGGGUAAAGAAGCACCGGCUAACUACGUG
rnacentral:rRNA from 1 species